rnacentral:sRNA from 1 species
GCCCCGGCGGGGCGACCCCUGCGGGAGCUGGAGGACGACCGCCGGCGCUGCUCUCCAAGGCGCCUGGUGGAGCGGGUCUCGCGGGCGGGGGACCCCGGCGCCCCGGGCCCCUCCACAUCCCUCACGGGUUUUCUUCUCGGCCCCAGCGAGCCUCUUUGGGGUCGAGGUCAAGGAAAGUUCGCACCGAGAUCCCUCUAAUUUAUUCAAAGGUUUGGCGGCGGCGCGUAAUUUUUUCCCCCUCUUCCGCCUACACCCGCUGCGUCUCCUGGUGUCUCAUUCCUUUCCCUUUACCGGAGUCGAUUGCCUCACUGCAUGUGUAUUCGUGCUGACUGGGUUACUUUUUUAAACACUAGGAAUGGUAGUUUCUACUUUUCUGUACUUCAAACUAAGAAGUUAAAGAGACUUCUCUGUAAAUAAACAAAUUUCUUCUGCUGUCCUUUUGCAUUUGGAGACGGCUUUAUUUCACCAUAUCCAAGGAGUAUAACUAGUGCUGUCAUUAUGAAUGUGACAAGUUUAUUUUCCUUUACGAGUCCAGCUGUGAAGAGACUUCUUGGGUGGAAACAGGGCGAUGAAGAAGAAAAAUGGGCAGAGAAAGCUGUUGAUGCUUUGGUGAAAAAACUGAAGAAAAAGA